AAUGCAGGAGAUGAUGUGUUUUAUUGUGAAUAUGAGUAUGAUAUUCAUUGGCACAAUUUCAAGCGAAUAACUGAUGUU
rfam:Ananas comosus cultivar MD2 ACMD2_Scaffold_621, whole genome shotgun sequence.